UCAAUUGUUUCUUUAUUUUCAUUUUCCUUAGGAAUCAGCUCAGUCAAUCGGUUUUCAGCCAGACCGAUCCGGUUAACCAAAAUAAAAGAAUUGCAAUUAUUUACUCAAGUCUCGCCGAUGAUUCCCUUUGACCAGCAUCUUUCUUUGGCCUGUCUUCGCCUGGGAGAAAGGGGCCGUUCUGAGUUCUGACUGGUUCGUGUCAAGCAGCCCUUGGGAUUUGCAGUGGGGGUGUCAACUUCUUCCCCUGAUAAGCACCAAGCUGUAGACGAACGUUUUAUCAAAAGAAAAAAAGCUGUAGACGAAUGCAUCUAGUCAUGUUGCACAUGCCUGAUAAGCCAACCAACGAGAGGGAGAGGGAGAGGGAAAAGAAGAAAACACCUGGUCUGACCUGGCUUCCGUGUUUCAUCGUCAAUCGAUCGAUCAAUGGAACUGGAAUGGGACGGAGCACGAAGCCACGAUUCCACGAACUUUAAAAAAAUACCAGCAUAGAAAGAGGUUGCCGUUUCUUUACUGGUGGAUCAUGUGUGACUCAGCACCCCGGAGUUUUGUCACUUCCCGAGCCGUCGACUUCAGAGCCCCGGAACCUGAAGCCUCAGGCCACCGGCAAAACGACACCCCCGCCGUUUCUUUACUGCGUGGGUGAAAGUGAAACCGCGACGCGUGACGAC
rnacentral:lncRNA from 1 species